ensembl:lncRNA
UGGAGCAUUUUGAGAAACACCUAGAAGACAGCGAUCCAGUGGGGACGCUGAGGCUGGCGGUUUGACCUGUUUGCUGGUCACACUUCCUCAGUGUCACCGAGGCCUGAGAACUUGGAGCUGGUGAGAUGACGAGGAACAAGGAACACGUGAGGCUGUGGUGCACGAUCGCACGGGCAGCCUUGGGGUGGGUUCCUUGGGGGGCGCGGGUGAUGGGCCAAGGUUUCCCUGAGCCCCGUUUAUAAGCGCACUCACUUGAAAUCAGAAUGGGAUUUGUGAAAAGCUGGGCAGAGCCGGGACCAGCCCAUCAGUGAUUUGACAGAUUCCUAAUGUGGAGCCGACUCCAGGAGCCUAUCUGAUGGCUGUUUGUGAAAUGGGAGCUCUCUAGGCUGUGAGCUGAGAGUGGGAGAGAGAGAGCCGGCCCGACGCCUGCCUUCCUGCCGGGCAGCGGGUCCAGCUUAGGGGAUGCCUUGAUUAGGGCUGCCCCAGGGUGCUGGGGACUCUGCCCCCCCCCCGGGGGGGGGUUCCGCUUGGAGCCUCGUGGAACCACGAGGCGGGGGGCGGGGGGGAGGAGGCUCCCGACUUGGGGGCCAUCAGGGAGCUUGUGACCUGCCCCCUCCUUCCCGUGUCCUCCCCCCUUCCCUGUGCGUGCCUGGGCUUCUUCCUCUUCCCAUGUUCCCCCCACCCCCGCCCCUUCUCCCCACCCUUUAUUCAACAAACAAGAAGUGAGCAGCCCCUGGCCUUGGGGCUGGGGUGUGUGCAGCUGGAGUAUUUUGAGGAAUCUGUGUUUCUGCUGCAGGGAGCCCCGGGGCUGGCCAUCAGCUAGAAUUUUUCCCAGCGCAGCUUCCAAUCCACGGGUCCGAAAAUCAGUCUUGUAGGCCCAUCAGUGCUUUUUAAGAAGUGAAACAAAAUAGAAAAGAGAAUACCAGGGCGUGCUCAUCUUAGGUGUGGUAUUGUUUUCUGAUGCUUGUCUUCGUUGUGGGGGGCGGUGUGCGCGCACAUGUGUGUGCGAGCUUUGGUGGAGGGAAGACGGGGUGCUUGGGACAGAGUGCCUGGCGUGUGGGGACGGGACCUGCGUGUGUUGGCUCAGCACCCCUCACUGCCUGCUGGGGGGUGGCCCAGGGCGCUUUGCCACCUCCCCUGUCCAGCUGGAGGCCGGGUGGGACUGACUGGACAGGCUCAGUGUGAGAUGCUUCUCCGCGCCAGUGGUCCUAACGUCGCUCAACCCACUGAGCAGGUUUGGGAUGCGUGCAACAGCUUAGAUUUUUUUUUGCUGGUGCUGAGUGCUGGGUCUUUCCAGAAAAAGCUAGCAACAGGCUGUUAGAGCAGAGUCAUGGGUUUGCGUCGACUGCCUGUUUGUUUCUAAAGCUGGCCGCAGACCCUGCAUCUGAGACGCGCUGCUGGCGCAGGGCUCCGGGGACACGAUGGGCGUGUUGACGCCGUGUGCUUUGUUCCCAGAGGGCCUGGCAUCUCCUUGGACACACGCAUUCUCUGUUGUGGUGACCUCUUCCUCUGCCUUCAUUGGCCUCACGUGGUGUCCACCCCUGGUUUACAGAAGGCAAGAUCGAAGCCUCAAGGGUCGUGGGAUGACAGGCCCGCAACAUGGCACGCUCCCUGGCAGCUGCUUUGGCAAGAGAGUUUUGCUGCCAGUCAGCUUGCAUCAUCCCAGAAUGUGGCCAAACCUGGGGUGGCAUCUCGGCUCCCAUUUUUUAACAAAAUGGAAAUGUUUUCCCAGCCUGCUGGAAUGGGAACAGACCCUUCCGACUUUCGUAUUAAUUUUACCCAGUAGUCUUCUUGGCCUGGGGCUUUGUGGGAGGGUGCAGUUUAAACAGUCGACAAAUGCAAAGCAUUGUCAGGUGACAGCCCUGACUCACGGGCCAGGCUUUGGCACCGUUUGUGACCACAGGGCUGGCCCCUGGCUUCCGUUUGCCUGUGCGCUUGGAAAGGUACUUUGCGUCCUGCCUCACAACCAUCCCCUGGGGUGGGCGCUGUUAGCAUCAUCCGCGUUGUAGGUACUGAGGGGCUGAGAAUUAGAAAGAGGCUCGUGGUCACGGUCAGUGGGCGGUAGAGCUGAGCAGUGAACACCAACCAGCCGCCCCCGGGGCUGAGCUCUCAGCCCCGAACCAUAGGCGCCCUCCUGAGCAUUUAGGUAUAUUUAGGCCCCCCCCCCCCAUGAGUUUCUGUGUGGAGUGGGUGGGGGGCCCUGCAGAAGUAGAAGUCCCCAAAGCAGGGCUUUCUUUUUGACCAAGACACACACCUGGAUGGACAGGGGGCCCUUGCAGGUAUGUAAAGAGAGGCAGCCGAGCCCUGCGCUCCGUUGAUGACUUACGUGAAGAGCCAGGGGACCAGGCUCGAACCUGAGCCUGUUUUGCCCAGCACUUUGGCCACCGUCUCAUUCAGAUGCCUCCCCCCCGCACUGCCCAGGCCCUGUGUCCUCCUUGGCCGGCACCGGAGAAGAUCUAUCACAUGGGAUUAUAAGACCUGAGUGUUGCAAGAUCCCAGUGCUGGAGGAGCAGUUGCCCGUCUGACCUUUGUGACCAAUGCAGGAGCCACCCCCCCACCACCCCCUCCUUGGGUGACGGGGAGACCCUGACCCAGAGCAGGCCAGGUUUUUUCCAUCCCUCGCCCGGUUCUCAGCGGUCAUUAAAAACUGAAUGCUAAACUGAUACGUGCACAUGUAAAAAAACAAACCCCGAAACCAACACUGGAAAUAUUUGCACAAAAAGCAAAGAUCUCCCCCCUUCUCUACCCACCACCCCCAACCUGGUCCCCAGGGUGAGCCUGCGAACCUUGCUCAGCGUGGAAAGCAGUCCAGAAUUUUGUGCGUGUGUAUCAGAAUAUGUGUAUUUGUAAUUCUUAAAAAUGGGUUCAUAUUAUAAAUAUUUUUGUGCUUUUUUUCAUGCAAUAUAUAUGCCUUUUUCUAUUAGUAUUUGGGGAACUAUCUCUCCCUCCUUUUUUUUUUUUAACAGCCUCAUAAUUUCUGAUUAUAUGGUGUGAGUGGUCCAUAACUAACCAAAGUCCUAUAGGUGUUUGUUUCUAAUUUUCUCCGUUAUAAUCAGUGCCCUGGUUACUGCUUUGUACCUGGCUCUUAUUGCAGAAGAAUUGCUGGCAUUUGCUAGCAUGUGCAAAAAAAAAAAAAAA